rnacentral:rRNA from 1 species
AGAGCGAACGCUGGCGGCAGGCCUAACACAUGCAAGUCGAACGGACUCUUCGGAGUUAGUGGCGGACGGGUGAGUAACACGUGGGAACGUGCCUUUAGGUUCGGAAUAGCUCCUGGAAACGGGUGGUAAUACCGAAUGUGCCCUUCGGGGGAAAGAUUUAUCGCCAUUAGAGCGGCCCGCGUCUGAUUAGCUAGUUGGUAAGGUAAUGGCUUACCAAGGCGACGAUCAGUAGCUGGUCUGAGAGGAUGACCAGCCACAUUGGGACUGAGACACGGCCCAAACUCCUACGGGAGGCAGCAGUGGGGAAUCUUGCGCAAUGGGCGAAAGCCUGACCGCAGCCAUGCCGCGUGAAUGAUGAAGGUCUAGAUGUAAAUUCUUCACGGGACGAUAAUGACGGUACCCGGAGAAGAAGCCCGGCUAACUCGUGCCAGCAGCCGC